GUAUGCUGCAGCUUAUCUGGAGCUGUGGGUGUGCUGGUUGCCCCCCCGGCCACAGCCAGACAGACCACGCCAUAGCUGAGCUCAGCGUGUCUCUGUCUCAGUGAGGGCAAAUUGCCUGAGGACCUCCAUCCUCCAGAUCUUCAUUGGUCUAUAGGUGCCUAAGAUGGGGUCAAGCCUGCCUACCUGAGGGACCUAACUUGAGCUUAAAUUCCAGAAAGCUAGGGAGCCAGCCUUCUUCCAGUGUUUCUGCCCCUACCACAAGCAACAGAAGAUCAUCGCUACCUUUCUGAGACUAGAGACAGCAUCCGCAGCAGUGCAGAAUCCUCUUCUACGAGCAGUGACAUUGGCACAACGAAGAGCAGUUCUCCCUGCUACCAAUAACCCACCUCCCUUCAGAGGGCAAGCGGGUUUGAUUUGGGGAGAGCUCUUUGGAGCUAAGGCAGGAAAGGAGCUAACCGUGAAGAAGUGGGGACGACUGAGACCUUGCGCUCAAGCUCACAUCCUUGUCUCCUUCCAGCAGUAGCAGCCCACCUUCAUACUUCCUAACAGCUCAGACAUGUCACAAGAUUAUACAAAUUCAAUGAAUUGUCACAAUCAGGAAGACUUUGCUGCUCACAGAACAACAAUUUUGGUCUGGUUAAAAUCAAUACUUGCUGUUUUCUUUAUCAUCUGUGUUCUGAAAAAUGCUUAAAUACAUGAUCAGCUUUAAGUUCACACUUAGCUUUUCCUAAAGUCAGUGAGGUAUUUCUUGAUAUAAGGGCUCCAUAUAAUUAGACACUGUUGAAGUACAGUUGCAGUCUCUUGAGAUGCUGUUUUUUGUAUGGCACAGAGGGUGUGCUGGACCCUUUACAAAUGUAAAUAGAGACACAGCCCAUGGCCUGGGGAAUUGUUGAACCAGCUCAGACUGACACAGAAAAGCCAUGAAAAACGUAAAUACUGGCUUCUGGUUCAACUCAAGAAUGGAGCAGACCUCGUGAAGAGAUUAGAAAGACGCUCUGUUGUGUAGGACUGAAUAAGCCGGGCCCAUAGUGUCAUAGAAAAGUCGGUUGGAAGAGAUGUCUGGAGGUCGCCUGGUCAUCCAGGCCAACCUCCCUCUUGAAGCAGGACUGCCACCAGUGCUAGAGCAGCCUUUAGUCUGAAGGAACGUUGGGAAAUUUUUUUCACUGCUGUGCAUCACAGAGUAUCAUUACCCUUUGAAAAUCUUAUGUACAGCUUCUCCAGAAUUAUCCUGCACAUCAGGAUCAGGCCCAGGUGACUCACUAUACGUGAAAAACUGCAAUUAUUAAGAUCAAAGUAAAGCCAAAAUGAGAAGUCACUGGGCUUUACUGAGCUGCAAAACCACAGUCAA